UCUAGACUAGACCAUUCCCGCAAAUUCGCAGGUCCGUACCUGAGUUAAAGAACAUACGCUUUAUUUUUAGCCUGGAUUUUUAGAAGUCAUAUUGUUAUUUGGUGAAAUCAAGCUGAUAAUAAGGUGGACAGUUAUGUCCAUUACGAAGUCCAUGAGUAGCGUGUAGCCAUUCAUACAAUAUAAACAUAUAACAUACACAUAAUGUUCAAUCUGCAUACCGUGGGGUUUGUAUGUGAUAGUUGCCGCAGUACAUUUAGUUCUACCUAAGUCUUUGACAUAUUAUCCUGGUUACAAGCUUAAGUCUGGCUUCAAACUAGUAUUUUAUUUUACUCUUAAAGUCAGCGCGUGUAGCAGUGUAAAAUAUAUAUAUCAACAAUAUUCCUACUUUCGAGGUUAAUACAAUUUUCAUUGCG
rnacentral:lncRNA from 1 species